AUACGGCCCUAGCCCGUUGAAACACGGGCUCUCAUUAGAUCACCGAAGUUAAGCAACAUUGAGCCUGGCCAAUUCCUAGGUAGAUGACCGCUUGGGAAUAUCAGGUGAUGUAA